rnacentral:lncRNA from 1 species
GUAUAGCUCAGAACUGCUCAUAUAUUACCUGCAUGACCACAGCCACUAAGGCAACUCUUUAUUGUGGCAUAACUCCCAUCUAAGUCCUGUGUCAUAUAUCCAACAACUCUGUGUGAUCCUGAGGUCUUUGAACCUGGCAACUAAUGCUAACCUGGUGCAAAAGAUUGCCUCUAUUUCUGUGUCAUUUGUUGAUUCUGAUUUUACAGUGGUCCCCUGAGAAUUCAGAGAAAGCUAUUGAACACUUGCUUGCAAUCUGGAAUAGAUUAGUGCUGGGAAAGUUUUGGCUUGUCUAAACCAGAUUUGUUUGUUUAAUUUUUCUCACACUAGCACAUUUUCUGUCUUUUGCCUGCAGGCAGGUUACCUCUUGACAGAACAUGGGUGCCACACUUGACUCAUCACAACAGGAGCAGAGAUUGUUCUGUACUUCUGAGAGCUGCCUUGACCUGUUUUUCACAUUGAGGUUAGAAGCCCAGCAAGAGACAUCAAAGGAGCUGAGAAAGAAGGAAAGUCACAUGGCUGUGGAGCAGAUCUGUUGCCAUCCUGCAGCUUCUUGCCUCCAUGGGAUCCAGAACAGCAGCAGAAGGGCCCCGGCACUGGUAAGUCAGUGGGCACUGCUUCAGGACUUAUGACUGCCUCAAAACACAGGGUGAGAGGGGAUCCUUUCAUGAAAGAGAUGCUGAAAUGCCUCCCAACAGUCUUGACAUACCAGGUGCUGGGAGGCAACAAGUAAACUGAGGCUUCUGCAUUUGCAGAUUAAAUUAAAUUUUAGCUAAAUCAUUGUAUGUAUUUUUCUAUUAGUGCACAAAAUCAACAAAACAUCCUUAAGAGAAAUUACUUGGCUCUGAGGUUAUCAUGGUGCUCACCACACACAUAAUUUCCCUUUGCAUGACAGGAUCAUGAAUGUUUUUACCAACUAGUUCAUUUUUAAUCUCCAUUAAUUAUAUACCCUUAUCAUCCCUUCUCAUUCUUCUGUCCUUCCCACUUUCUUCUCCUAUUUCUUAGUCUGCAGAUCUGUUACUCAAUGAACAACUGAUUGUUCAAAUGCUAAUUCUAACCAUCAUCUGUUGCCUGUAACGGGAGAGAAAGGUCUUUCCACCUACACUGUAAUAAAUUUUCCAGUUGUGACAACACCAGAAUAGACCAAAGAUGGACUUUCAAUUUUUUAAAAAUAUGACAAAACUGUAAAUAACCUGAUGCUACUCAAAGACUCACAGUUACAACACUUAAAUUCUGUAGCAGUGUGUGAAUCUUGAAACAGUGCUGAAGUACAGAAAAUAGUUCUAUUUAAAAGAUGAGCAAAUAGGACUGCAGCACACUAACUUCUCAGAGCCACACUUAAAAAGCCAAUGACAGGCUAUGAGAAAAACUUACUGCCAACAGUUCAAAAAGCAUAGUUUUAGGUUGUUAAUUCAGCCUGCAGCUCCAGGGACACUGACACUCAAAAAGGCAUUGCAAGGGCAUCACGGCAGGGUGCCCACAUUGCCAGCUCCACACUUUUUAAUCUCUUAAUGAAAAUUCUUCAUUUCAUGAAAGGAAAUGAAAUCUCACAAUUUCAAGGAGCAUCAUUUCACGAAGUUUCAGUCAUUCCAUUCCAUUCCAUUCCAUUCCAUUCCAUUCCAUUCCAUUCCAUUCCAUUCCAUUCAAUUUCACUUCAUUUAAGAAUUUCAUUUUUUUCCUUUAAGCAAGCUCAGGGGUGUAGCUAGGUGCCCAUCCCCAUUUAUGGCCCUAAUCUGCAAGGUGGGAAGGCAGCAAUAUUGUGCUACUGCCAUAAUCCUCUUGUCAUGCAUUUUCCAGCCCCAGUGUCCCUGGAGCUCCAGGCUCUUUUCCUUUCUUAACCUUAACUCUAGGCCUAGUGGCAUCUUGUUGCAGGGGCUGAGGUUCUGAUCACCACGGGAGGUCCAGAUUAGAAAGAUGUAGGAGCAGCAAAGUUGGUGCCCUGCCAGGAUGACCUUGGCAUGCCUUUUCCAGCCCCAGUUUUCCUGGAGCUGUGUACUCUCUACAGCUCUCUGAACCCUAACCCGAACCCUUAUGGCAACUUGCCACUGCUGCUGUGAUCCCCAUCACCAGGGCUGGCCCAGAUUCCAAAAGUGUAGAGUGAGCAAUCUCAGCACCCUGAUGAAAUUUCUUCAUUUCACAAAAGGAAAUUAAAUCUUGCAAUUUCUGGGAGUAUCAUUUCACUGUACUUCAUUCCAUUCCAUUUCAAAAAUUUAACUUCUCCUGAGAAUUUUCUUUUUUUUUUCCAAUUUCAUUUCACUUCCUUGUGUUUUCUUUCUUUGUAUUUUCACUUCAUUCGUUGAUUUCUUGUUUCAUUUCCUCUCAUGAAAGGAAAUACAAUCUAGCUAUUUCAAUGUAAAUCGUUUCAUGAAGUUUUGGCUCAUUUCACUGCACUUCAAACAGGGUACCUAAGAUAAGAAAUUUACAACUUCUAGUGUUUAGUUUUCAUAUAUUGUUACAUGAUUGUCAUUGUGGUAAAUAUGUUGUAUGUCAACUAAUAAAGAAUCACACACUUAUUGUUAAAUACUCAAAUUUUACCUUCAUAAAUCUGAACAGUGGGUAGUUUCUCUUUUUAGUUUCCCUAUUGAUCUUUAGAAAGGUAAGAUGAAACACUGAAAUACAAUUGUUUUCUCAUAUCCUAGUACUUCCCUUCAAGCUGUAUCCAACAAGCUACAAUAUCAGAUCAUGUCCUAGUUGGUGGGGAAAAAAUAUUUCACUGAGAACAAAAUUACAUAAAUAAGAUCCAUUUAAUUAUUUACUGAAGGCUCAACAUACAGAAAACAUUGAAAUACCAGAAGUUCUGAAUGGCAAUCAUAAAAUAUGCUUCAAGAAAAUUCAGAGUAAUGACAUCCAUCAACAAUUUUAGCAGAGAUUUCUGUACUGUGACCAGAAGUGAACUACUUGGAGAGUAUUCAGUAUUUUGCAGCUUAAGAAUGUGGUUUCCUUUGACAGCCCACAGACACUGCAGCUGAAACCAGUCUCCAGCCUCAACAGUCUAGUGGCUGAAAUCCAUCU